rnacentral:lncRNA from 13 species
GCAUCAAUCUCACACAUUUAUUCCUUAUAUUAAAUGAAACAAGUGCUUAGCUUUUUGCCUUGCAAUCAUUAAAUGUUUCCAUUAGAGUAAUGUUAAAUAAUUAUUCGUUAAUUUUUUAUUUUAAUGUGUUUAUAAUAUUCAAGAACUCUAGGAAUUAAUUGAAAACAGGGAAUCUCUUACUAUCAAUAUCCUGGAUGUAUUUCUCUCCUCUUCAAAGAAACGAAGCACAUAUUACUCAAUAUGAGAUUAUUGACAUCUGACAUCUGACAUCUUUUGUCAAAUGGAGAAAGACAUUCCAAUUAGCAGAUUCAACAGUUUCCUGAGCAAUAGCUGCAUAUCAGAUAACCAAGUGUACAGAAGUUUGCUCCAAAAUGUCUGGUUUGGGAAAUGCAGUUUGAGAAACCACCUGAUGACAAUUUACAAUGGUCAAAAUUUUUUCAAAAGCUCUGACUUCUCUGCACAAGGGAAACAUACAAGUUAAAUAGUCAUCUGAUAGAAAUCACCACCAUCUACCUUUCUCAGAUGGAUGUCCUGGCAUUUGAAUCUCAUUGAAUGUGGUCCACCUUUGUGUGUAGUAUUUAGUAAAUUACCAAAGUGUAACAGCC